AAGUUUUAUUCACUCCCCAUGUUUCUUUUGUCGGUAUUGUCCCAUCUCUUCCAUAGAUAAUAACUUUUGAGUGGUGGUGAGUGGUAGGUUACUGAAUGAAUAAUGUACUUAUUGUAGUGUGGAGUGAGGCUGCAAUUGCAACGAUGAAAAACCUGCAAAGGACAAUGCAUGACAAGUGACUAGAGACGAGGACAACAGGUUGGUAUCAUAUCUCCACUCCAAGACUUCCCCUUCGUUUGCAGGUAAGUAAAAUGGUCAAGAAUUUCUCUUGCUCUCACUUUAUCUUCUAUUUUUUCUUCUACUUUGACUGAUUUUUUCGUCAACACCAAAGCAUAGUUACUAAAGUUUUAUCAUCUUAUUGUAAACAUUUUUCUAUCAAUAAAAUUUAUAUUUAUUUGCAUAAGCAUUCUCUUCUACAUGUUUUUUUUCUGUGUAGAUAUAUAUUCUUUUACAUUCUCUUUUGUUUUCUCUACUCGUGUACCAUCCAUAUUUAAUGUUCAAAGGCACUGCUCUCUUUGAAAUUAAAUAAUCGUCCUUAUCUUUGAAAUGCAUUUUCAUUUAAGAAAACCAUCAUUUACCAGCCAUUGUUAUGCGUAGAACUGACCUUAGCUUGAAAUUGAAACCUGGUUACAUUAUGCUUUCUCAAUUGUUGUUGGUGAAUAUGUCCUGAAAUUUAAAUUGAUUGAUUUUUUGCAGCAAAGUGGCGUGCAUGUAGAGCAAAGAUGGAAAGAGUACGGAGCACAACUACAACUGCUUAAUUUUGAUUUAAAUGUAAUUUAUGCACCUUUUUUCUCUUCCUCUUUUUGUUUUUAACUUCCCCAUUACUCUUUAGAUAUAUAUCAGAAUGUAUGCUGUACAUAGAACUAGCAC
rnacentral:lncRNA from 1 species